UUCUCUACCGUGUCGCGUGACCGUUUCUUCUGUCUCUCUAUAUAAAUGUUUCGUGUCACUUUCUUCUCUCAUUUCCACCCUCAAGAGUCACUCUCUUCUCUCACUCUUCAUUCGUUUCCACUGUCUAGAGUCUCUCUGUUUCUUCGCACUGCCACACGCCAAUGCCUCAUCUUCGGUUAGAUGUCUAGACUGUUCUUUCCCUUUUCUUCUGUUUCUGCAAUUCAGACUCUGCUUUUCAUUCCUGUGUCUGUGUUCAAGUUCUUUCUUGAACUUGCAUGUUCUUGUUUUCAAGACCGGCUGGUUGUUUCUUGAACUGGCGUGUUCUUGUUUUCAAAAUCGGGAGUGCUGUUUGGUGGUAAACUGGAUUCACAUGACUCAAUAACUGAUCUGCUUUUAAGCUUUCCUAUCAGUUUCUGGGUUCUCUUCCGUUCCGUCCUUUGUUCUCCGCUUCUUUAAGAUUCUUCAGUGCUUAUCUAUUCAGCGCCUUAGCUCCUCAGGUGGCGGUAGUUGUACUGGUGGCUGUGAUGGUGGAACUGGAAGCAGUAGCGGUGCUUCAAGAGAAAUUGUUAAAGACAGAUAGCCUUUCAAUUGCUUUUUUAUGAGUAAUUUCUUUACUAGAUUUGACACAUCUACAUGUAUUAUGUUAUCAGGUUUGAUGUAUGGAUA